rnacentral:rRNA from 1 species
UAGGGAAUCUUCGGCAAUGGACGAAAGUCUGACCGAGCAACGCCGCGUGAGUGAAGAAGGUUUUCGGAUCGUAAAACUCUGUUGUUAGAGAAGAACAAGGACGUUAGUAACUGAACGUCCCCUGACGGUAUCUAACCAGAAAGCCACGGCUAACUACGUGCCAGCAGCCGCGGUAAUACGUAGGUGGCAAGCGUUGUCCGGAUUUAUUGGGCGUAAAGCGAGCGCAGGCGGUUUCUUAAGUCUGAUGUGAAAGCCCCCGGCUCAACCGGGGAGGGUCAUUGGAAACUGGGAGACUUGAGUGCAGAAGAGGAGAGUAGAAUUCCAUGUGUAGCGGUGAAAUGCGUAGAUAUAUGGAGGAACACCACUGGCGAAGGCGGCUCUCUGGUCUGUAACUGACGCUGAGGCUAGAAAGCGUGGGGAGCAAACAGG